rnacentral:rRNA from 1 species
ACUCCUACGGGAGGCAGCAGUGGGGAAUAUUGGACAAUGGGGGCAACCCUGAUCCAGCCAUGCCGCGUGUGUGAAGAAGGCCUUCGGGUUGUAAAGCACUUUCAGUGAGGAAGAAGGCCUCGGGCUUAAUACGUCCGAGGGAGGACAUCACUCACAGAAG